CCUACGGGCGGCAGCAGUGAGGAAUAUUGGUCAAUGGCCGGAAGGCUGAACCAGCCAAGCCGCGUGAAGGACGAAGGUGCCAAGCAUUGUAAACUUCUUUUGUCAAGGGACAAAAUCAGGCUCGAGAGCCUGACCGAGGGUACUUGAAGAAAAAGCAUCGGCUAACUCCGUGCCAGCAGCCGCGGUAAUACGGAGGAUGCGAGCGUUAUCCGGAUUUAUUGGGUUUAAAGGGUGCGCAGGCGGCGCGUUAAGCCUGGUGUGAAAGCCCGCGGCCCAACCGCGGGACUGCAUUGGGAACUGGCGCGCUGGAGUGCCGGAGGGGUAGGCGGAAUUCCUAGUGUAGCGGUGAAAUGCGUAGAUAUUAGGAGGAACACCAGUGGCGAAGGCGGCCUACUGGACGGUGACUGACGCUGAGGCUCGAAAGCGUGGGGAGCAAACAGGAUUAGAUACCCGAGUAGUC
rnacentral:rRNA from 1 species